AGGUUAAGUUACAAAGGGCGCACGGUGGAUGCCUUGGCACUAGGAGCCGAUGAAGGACGGAACUAAUACCGAUAUGCUUCGGGGAGCUAUAAGUAAGCUUUGAUCCGGAGAUUUCCGAAUGGGGGAACCCAGUACACAUCAGUGUAUUGCUUGUCAGUGAAUACAUAGCUGGCCGGCGGCAGACGCGGGGAACUGAAACAUCUCAGUACCCGCAGGAAGAGAAAGAAAACUCGAUUCCCAUAGUAGCGGCGAGCGAAGUGGGAAGAGCCCAAACCGAGAAGCUUGCUUCUCGGGGUUGUAGGACUGGACAUUGGAGUUACCAAAGUCCGACGUAGUCGAAGUCAGCUGGAAAGCUGCGCCACAGAAGGUGAAAGCCCUGUAAGCGAAACGUCGAACCCUCCGUCCAGGAUCCUGAGUACGGCGGAACACGUGAAAUUCCGUCGGAAUCCGGGAGGACCAUCUCCCAAGGCUAAAUACUCCCUAGUGACCGAUAGUGAACCAGUACCGUGAGGGAAAGGUGAAAAGCACCCCGGAAGGGGAGUGAAACAGUUCCUGAAACCGUGUGCCUACAAUUAGUCAAAGCCCGUUAAUGGGUAAUGGCGUGCCUUUUGUAGAAUGAACCGGCGAGUUACGUUUGCUUGCGAGGUUAAGAUGAAAAGUCGGAGCCGUAGCGAAAGCGAGUCUGAACAGGGCGAAUGAGUAAGCAGAUGUAGACCCGAAACCAAGUGACCUACCCAUGACCAGGUUGAAGGUGUGGUGAAACACACUGGAGGACCGAACCCAUGUAUGUUGAAAAAUGCUGGGAUGAGUUGUGGGUAGCGGUGAAAUUCCAAACGAACUUGGAGAUAGCUGGUUCUCUCCGAAAUAGCUUUAGGGUUAGCCUCGGAGGAUGGAUCAUGGAGGUAGAGCACUGUUUGAACUAGGGGCCCAUCAAGGGUUACUGAAUUCAGAUAAACUCCGAAUACCAUCGAUCUUACUCCGGGAGUCAGACAGUGAGCGAUAAGGUCCAUUGUCGAAAGGGGAACAGCCCAGAUCACCAGUUAAGGUCCCUAAAUUUAUGCUAAGUGGAAAAGGAUGUGGCGUUGCACAGACAACUAGGAUGUUGGCUCAGAAGCAGCCACCAUUUAAAGAGUGCGUAAUAGCUCACUAGUCGAGUGGCACUGCGCCGAAAAUAUACCGGGGCUAAGCAUAAUACCGAAACUGUGGGUGCACCCGUAAGGGUGCGCGGUAGGAGAGCGUUCUAAGGGCGUUGAAGGUCGAUCGUGAGGACGGCUGGAGCGCUUAGAAGUGAGAAUGCCGGCAUGAGUAGCGAAAGAUCAGUGAGAAUCUGAUCCACCGUAUGACUAAGGUUUCCUGGGAAGGCUCGUCCUCCAGGGUUAGUCGGGAUCUAAGGCGAGGCCGAGAGGCGUAGUCGAUGACAAGCAGGUUGAGAUUCCUGCACUAGUUUAUUUUGUUUAAGCGAUGGAGGGACGCAGGAGGCUAAGGAAAGCGCACGGCUGGAAAUGUGCGCCCAAGCAGUAAGUCUGACAGCGAGUGAAAUGCUUGCAGUCUUAAGGACAAGCUGUGAUGGGGAGCGAAAUUAUAGUAGCGAAGUUCCUGAUGUCACACUGCCAAGAAAAGCUUCUAGUGAGAAAUAAACUACCCGUACCGCAAACCGACACAGGUAGUCGAGGAGAGUAUCCUCAGGUGAGCGAGCGAACUCUCGUUAAGGAACUCGGCAAAAUGACCCCGUAACUUCGGAAGAAGGGGUGCUGACCGCAAGGUCAGCCGCAGUGAAUAGGCCCAAACAACUGUUUAUCAAAAACACAGGUCUCUGCUAAAUCGUAAGAUGAUGUAUAGGGGCUGACGCCUGCCCGGUGCUGGAAGGUUAAGAGGAUGAGUUAGCGCAAGCGAAGCCCAGAAUUGAAGCCCCAGUAAACGGCGGCCGUAACUAUAACGGUCCUAAGGUAGCGAAAUUCCUUGUCGGGUAAGUUCCGACCCGCACGAAAGGCGUAAUGAUUUGGGCACUGUCUCAACGAGAGACUCGGUGAAAUUAUAGUACCCGUGAAGAUGCGGGUUACCCGCGACAGGACGGAAAGACCCCAUGGAGCUUUACUGUAGCUUGAUAUUGAGUGUUUGUACCGCUUGUACAGGAUAGGUAGGAGCCGUAGAGAUCGGAACGCUAGUUUCGAUGGAGGCGUUGGUGGGAUACUACCCUAGCUGUAUGAACACUCUAACCCGCGCCACUAAUCGUGGCGGGAGACAGUGUCAGGUAGGCAGUUUGACUGGGGCGGUCGCCUCCUAAAAUGUAACGGAGGCGCCCAAAGGUUCCCUCAGAAUGGUUGGAAAUCAUUCGCAGAGUGUAAAGGUAUAAGGGAGCUUGACUGCGAGACUGACAAGUCGAGCAGGGACGAAAGUCGGGCUUAGUGAUCCGGUGGUUCCGUAUGGAAGGGCCAUCGCUCAACGGAUAAAAGCUACCCUGGGGAUAACAGGCUUAUCUCCCCCAAGAGUCCACAUCGACGGGGAGGUUUGGCACCUCGAUGUCGGCUCAUCGCAUCCUGGGGCUGUAGUCGGUCCCAAGGGUUGGGCUGUUCGCCCAUUAAAGCGGUACGCGAGCUGGGUUCAGAACGUCGUGAGACAGUUCGGUCCCUAUCCGUCGCGGGCGCAGGAAAUUUGAGAGGAGCUGUCCUUAGUACGAGAGGACCGGGAUGGACGUUCCGCUGGUGUACCAGUUGUGCCGCCAGGCGCAUCGCUGGGUAGCUAUGAACGGCAGGGAUAAACGCUGAAAGCAUCUAAGUGUGAAGCCCCCCUCGAGAUGAGAUUUCCCAUUCCUAUAUGGAAGUAAGACCCCUGAGAGAUGAUCAGGUAGAUAGGCUGGAAGUGGAAGUGCAGCGAUGCAUGGAGCGGACCAGUACUAAUCGGUCGAGGACUUAACCAAG
rnacentral:rRNA from 1 species